GGGAGGAAAAACAUCUGCACCAGGUAAUUGACAAGAUAAACCCAGGGGCUGGCUAUUGCUAUGACCUGUAAAUAGAUAAGACGUUGGACAUCGAAGUAAAGGUUCAAGGUGUAGAUUCUGUACUAACUGUAAUAAGCACAGUUACUUCGACUGUUCUACUAUUCUACUAAAGGUUCUCCUCUCAUAGAGUACCCACACCCAAAACACAUCUGUACAUAUGUCAAGCAGCUUCCAGCGCUGUUUAUCUGAAAAAAGACAGUGUUUUGCUCAGGCAAGCUGACUUUUCAUUUCCUACGGCAGGAGCAGGCUUCCCUGGUGCUAUAGGCAGCCACAAACACUUAAUGUUUUUUCGUCUAACAAACCUGCAAAACAGGUGUGUUGAAUUGAGGCAAUAACUGUGAUGUCUUGUUUCUUGUAGUACCUGGGCUCCCCAGGAGCAGUGUUGCUUCUCCCGGUUCUCCGUAUCCACAUUGUGCUGCAAAAGGUGCUUGAACGUUGCAAAUAGAAAUUGCAUGAAUAUGGCAGACGUAAUUCCUAAUGUUAUACGUUGGAAAGGAAUAUUUGUUCUACAUAGCAUAUUUCUAUCUGAACGUUCUGACACUGAGUACAGCCCAAUUAGGCGGCCAGAGCACAGGCUGGAGGACGUUUCGAAUGUUUAAUCAGGUUGCCUUGAAGCUACUGGGCUGGACCAGAGCAUUGUAGACACAGUUUAGACCUGGCACUAACGUGUUUUUUGUCCUGACCUUGUCCACAUUCUGGUUGUGUACACAAUGUAGACAGUGUAGCCGAUUGAAGUACACACUGUGAUGGGAUUGUUAUCAGUGUGAACAGACAAGAUCAGGGCAUGCUAACAGCAGGUGUGAACAGACAAGAUCAGGGCAUGCUAACAGCAGGUGUGAACAGACAAGAUCAGGGCAUGCUAACAGCAGGUUUGAACAGGACUCUGGAAACGUGUUGACUUCCUCCAUUUUGUGUUUUUAACUUGAGAAAUUAUGUAAAUGUAAACUUCUUCCAAUUCCACCUCCUGACUUCAACUCAGCCAAGCAUCACUUCAGUUCCAUCAAGAUAUGAUGAGGAGUGAAGGCAGAUGGAGAAAACAGACCAUUCAUAUAAAACACAAACACUGUUUGUCCCUUUGGUCCGAGCUAUGCAUUAGAGGACAUUGUAGCAUGAAAGAAAAGAAAAAAUACUUAUUGUCAUGGGUAAUUUUGAUUACAAACAUAGCAGUUUUAAGGUAGGGUGGGAGUUGGGGGGUGAAAAGAAAACAUGUUGGCUGUAUGUUUAAAGUACCUUUAAAAGAUCGGUAUGUAAAGUUCCCUUUAAAGGACUAGAAUGUUUGAAGGACCUUUAAAGGACUAGUAUGUUUAAAGAUUUAAAUGUGGAACGAUUAUGGAAAUGUGUGGUUACCGUGAUCCAUUAUGGAAAUGUAUGGUUACCGUGGUCCAUUAUGGAAACCUGGUAUUGUUAUGGUCCUGUGGUUGCCAAAAUAAAACAAGAAAGG
ensembl:lncRNA